UACGUAGGGUGCAGGCGUUGAUCGGAAUUACUGGGCGUAAAGCGUGCGCAGGCGGUUUCUUAAGUCAGAUGUGAAAGCCCCGGGCUUAACCUGGGAACUGCGUUUGAAACUGGGAGACUUGAGUGUGGCAGAGGGGGGUGGAAUUCCACGUGUAGCAGUGAAAUGCGUAGAUAUGUGGAGGAACACCAAUGGCGAAGGCAGCUCUCUGGGACGGUACUGACGCUGAGACGCGAAAGCGUGGGGAGCAAACAGG
rnacentral:rRNA from 1 species